CGUAUAUUAAAGUUGUUGCAGUUAAAAAGCUCGUAGUUGGAUUUGUGGUGACAGUUGUGGUCCAUUUUUGGUACUAACGAUUGUUGCCAUCCUUGGGUGGAACCUGUGUGGCAUUAACUUGUCGUGCAGGGGAUGCCCAUCGUUUACUGUGAAAAAAUCAGCGCGUUCAAAGCAGGCUUAUGCCGUUGAAUGUCUUAGCAUGGAAUAAUAAGAUAGGACCUUGGUGCUAUUUUGUUGGUUUGCGUACCGAGGUAAUGAUUAAUAGGGACAGUUGGGGG
rnacentral:rRNA from 2 species